rnacentral:rRNA from 1 species
AUUGAACGCUGGCGGCAUGCUUUACACAUGCAAGUCGAACGGCAGCGCGGGCUUCGGCCUGGCGGCGAGUGGCGAACGGGUGAGUAAUGCAUCGGAACGUGCCCAGUAGUGGGGGAUAGCCCGGCGAAAGCCGGAUUAAUACCGCAUACGACCUGAGGGUGAAAGCGGGGGACCGAAAGGCCUCGCGCUAUUGGAGCGGCCGAUGUCGGAUUAGCUAGUUGGUGGGGUAAAGGCUUACCAAGGCGACGAUCCGUAGCUGAUCUGAGAGGACGACCAGCCACACUGGGAAUGAGACACGGCCCAGACUCCUACGGGAGGCAGCAGUGGGGAAUUUUGGACAAUGGGGGCAACCCUGAUCCAGCCAUGCCGCGUGCGGGAAGAAGGCCUUCGGGUUGUAAACCGCUUUUGUUCGGGAAGAAAUCCUCUGGGCUAAUACCCCGGGGGGAUGACGGUACCGGAAGAAUAAGCACCGGCUAACUACGUG